ACGGAAAAGGGAAAGGGCUUAGUGGCGGACGGGUGAGUAACGCGUGGGUAACCUGGCCCAUACAGGGGGAUAACACUUAGAAAUAGGUGCUAAUACCGCAUAACAACAGAAAGCGCAUGCUUUUUGUUUGAAAACCAAGGUGGUNUAAGGGAUGGACCCGCGUCUGAUUAGCUGGUUGGCGGGGUAAAGGCCCACCAAGGCGACGAUCAGUAGCCGGCCUGAGAGGGUGGACGGCCACAUUGGGACUGAGACACGGCCCAAACUCCUACGGGAGGCAGCAG
rnacentral:rRNA from 1 species